UGAGGAACAUGACCUUCGGCGGGGGAUAGCCGGCCCAACGGCCGGGUAAUACCGCGUACGACCACAUGGGGACAUCCCUGAGUGGUGAAAGCAGCAAUGCGCCGAUGGAGUGCCUCGCGGCCUAUCAGCUAGUUGGUGAGGUAACGGCUCACCAAGGCGACGACAGGUAGCUGGUCUGAGAGGAUGGCCAGUCACAUUGGGACUGAGACACGGCCCAGAUCCUACGGG
rnacentral:rRNA from 1 species